rnacentral:ribozyme from 14 species
AUAAAAGAUUCGCAGUCACAAAAAUAAGAUAGAAACAAAUGUGACUGAUAGAUCCUGUAUACGUUUACUUCUUUUUUCCCUUUCCCUUCUUUUUCUUCGCAUUCU